CUUCUCAUUGUUUCAUACUUUUCCUUUCCACUAUCACUCAACUUAUCUGAGAUAAAGUUAAUUUCAAAUUGACUCUUAGUUUAUUUACAGUUUUUUCUUUACUUGUUGUUUUAAAAAUAGGAUUUAAAAUACGAUAUCACCUACAAUAACUUAAAUUAUAUAAUUGUACUAGGUUAUCAAAUCAAUUCAGUUUAGUUUGUCAAAUAAGCUGCCUGUAGUGUCUUUAAAUGUCCAGCAGGUGUCAGUAUGCUGUGAGACAGUAACAAUGCAGGAUCAAUAGAGUUUGGCUUCAAGAUGCCUCAUUAACCCAUCACUAAUAUACACCUCUGGGAUGGGCACAUGGAGAAUGGAGAAACAAAUAGGUCAUAAAAGUUACUAAAUAUAAUAAUGAAGUCAUGUGUUUGAUUCUCCAUGAAAAGAGAAAUACCACCUUAAUGAUAUUCCAAAAAAAGACAAUUAAAAACAAUACGCUGAAAUUUGUUUCCAAGUUUGAAGACAUUUCGCUUCCCAUCCAGGAAGCUUUUUCAGUUAAAAAUGUCAGGAAUAGCUUUGAGUUCGAGGCUUUGUACAGUAGCACAUCAUCAUUAAAAGCUCAAAAUGAUUAGAUAUCAUGUGAGCUGUUGAUGAGCAGCUUUAAUGGAUGGAGCUCAGUGAUUUUUACUCUGCAGUAAUAAGAUCUGUUCCUUCUGAUCUGGUAUUCCUAUGGAGAGAGCUCUGACCAAGGAAUGAUCUCACUCCAAUCUGCUCUCUGAGCAAACCAUAUUCCAGUGAGAUGAAGCUGCUACCUAAAGUAGUUUACUUUACUGUGUGGACUUCUUUUAAUUCGACAAAAUAACCUCUUUUUUCCACCUCCAUCUUGAAUGCUGAUGACAAGGAGCUGAACCGCUGGUGCUCGCUGAGGAAGACCUGCAGGUUCAGGUCUGAGAAGGAGGAGCUGAGUGAUCUGAAGAACUAUAAAGUCAAGGCACAGAAGGUGAGGAAGAAGAAGAAAGUCCUGAGCUGUGUAUUCUGAGGAGGACAAAGAAACACCAGAGGCUAAGACCAAGCUGGAGAAGAAACAGUGACACCGUCUGAAGAAUCCCGAUGAGCAAAUCAGAGGAGCAGAUCAAGCAAGCGUGGAUUCUGCAGAGGAGAUGGUUGAAGCUCUCAAUGAGGCUUUUGACAACACCGAGGAAGGAGAGAAGAUCCUGGUACCUAAGAAGAAGAAGCUAGAAGAGCAAAGCAAGGAUCCAUCAGAGCAGACAGCAGAGAAACGGAAGAACCGCAAGAACAGGACUGCAUGGACCAAGAAUCCCAGGAGGUUCAAUGGAUGCCUCCAACCGAGAACCAAGAGCAGUACUCGAGUUGAUGGGGAAUGAGGGGUGAAGGCGUCUUAAAACAAAUCUUAAAAAUCAUCCCCCUUCUUAAAUGACCAUAUCAUGCCCUGUAACAUCUUAUUACUGAAUGUGUGAAUUUAUAUUAUAUAUUCAUAGUAAUGGCAAUAAUAUUGCCCUUUCAACAUUUGGCAGGCUGUGCACUUACAAGUAGCCUGAGCAGAUUACGGUGGCCCAGAGGGCACACGUCAUUUCAUUUUCGACCUCUGUGGCAAAACCAGCGGAGCAGGUAACAGUGUUCUGAACCUGAGUUAAAAUAUUUAGAAAUUAGUAUAUUGUCUGACGGCAGUGUCUAAUUUCACUUGCGCCGCUUCUCCUGUUUAGAUGUUAAAGCCCUCAGGUUAAUAGACUAUAUUAACCUGAGGGCAGAUGAAUAAAUAAUUCUUUAUAAAAUAAAGAUAAAAGCAUGUUUUUAAACCAAUUUAACAUUCCUAAGGAUUCAUAAAAACACUUAGUAAAAAGAUCCUGACUGAGUUUAUCAUAAUUCGUGCAUGAGAGGGAAAUUAUUAACCAAAAACUGACAAGAAAAAUACAGCAAAAAGUUAUUUAUGACAAUAAAAUACAAUUAAAAAGGACCAA